UAAAUUGACUUAGCGGCGGACGGGUGAGUAACGCGUGGGUAACCUGCCUUACACUGGGGGAUAACAGUUAGAAAUGACUGCUAAUACCGCAUAAGCGCACAGGGCCGCAUGGUCUGGUGUGAAAAACUCCGGUGGUGUAAGAUGGACCCGCGUCUGAUUAGGUAGUUGGUGGGGUAACGGCCCACCAAGCCGACGAUCAGUAGCCGACCUGAGAGGGUGACCGGCCACAUUGGGACUGAGACACGGCCCAAACUCCUACGGGAGGCAGCAUG
rnacentral:rRNA from 1 species